UACGUAGGGCGCGAGCGUUGUCCGGAAUUAUUGGGUGUAAAGAGCUCGUAGGCGGCUUGUCACGUCGGGUGUGAAAGACCGGGGCUUAACUCCGGUUCUGCAUUCGAUACGGGCUAGCUAGAGUGUGGUAGGGGAGAUCGGAAUUCCUGGUGUAGCGGUGAAAUGCGUAGAUAUCGAGAGGAACACCUGCGGCGAAGGCGGGUUGCUGGGCUGACACUGACGCUGAGGCGCGAAAGCCAGGGGAGCAAACGGG
rnacentral:rRNA from 1 species